rnacentral:rRNA from 1 species
UACGAAGGGGGCUAGCGUUGCUCGGAAUCACUGGGCGUAAAGCGCACGUAGGCGGGUUGCUAAGUCAGGGGUGAAAUCCUGGAGCUCAACUCCAGAACUGCCUUUGAUACUGGAGAGCUUGAGUCCGGGAGAGGUGAGUGGAACUCCGAGUGUAGAGGUGAAAUUCGUAGAUAUUCGGAAGAACACCAGUGGCGAAGGCGGCUCACUGGCCCGGUACUGACGCUGAUGUGCGAAAGCGUGGGGAGCAAACAGGG